UGCGCCCCGAGUGGGAGAUGACUAGAGCUGUGUAGGUGACAUCGAAGGCAGACACCUCCCGAAGCACCUGGGACACAGAGAGCUCUGCUCAGGGGCUGACCCCGUGGGGGCGUCCCGCCGGGGGAGAGUCCCCAGGUGUACCUCUGCUGCAGCCUGUCCACACCAGAGCCGGACUCCUCCUCCUGCGGGCACCAGUGAUGCCCUUGGCAGGUAGCGGUGGCCAACAUGAGGCAGCAAACCUUAGAGGGCGGGUGCUAGCCACCAAAUCUUGGUUCCCCUCUCCCGACUCGAGCCCUUCACACGCUGCCAGUGUGUGACAAAUGCCUGCUCAGUGACACAGAGUCUAAAGACAGGCAGCAGAGGAAGGAGAAAGAAGAGGAAGAGUCAGAAAACUCUGUUCCAGAGAAGACACAGCAACCCUCUGCUGCCUCCCCACCUGCGUGAUGGCUCCUCACUGUGGGUGACCCCAAGGCUCUAUCCUGAGCCUCUUUUCUCCUCUGUUUACCUCUCACUUGGUGACUUCAUCAGCUUCCAUGGAUUCGAUUUUCAUCUCUGUCUGGCCCUAACCUCUCUUCUGAGCCCCAGUCCUGCUUAUUGGACAGCUCAAACUGGAUGUCCCAUGGUCAUCUCAAACUCAACAUAUCCAGAACUGACCUCAUCAUUCUUCCCCCCAUGCCCUCUUCUCUUCUCAAUUUUCCAAUGACUGUUGAAAGCACCACCAUCCUCUCCAGGCCACCCUCCCGACUCUGCUCCUGGACUCUCUCUACAAAUGCCUCCAGAAGCCUUUCUGCCCUGCAAGCUCACCCCAGCUCUGGGCUUCACAGACUGGAAAUGCUCUCCAUCUCUGUGGGCCCUCUCUCCGAUUGGCUGAUUCCUCCCAGAACCUCCAUUUUAAGGGGGAGGCCCAGGCCAGCAAGCUCUUCAUUCCUCUCCAGGCUGCCCCCCUGACAUCCUGCCUCUGCUUUCUAGCCUGGGUCCCUGGGCCGGGGACCUUCAUUUCUCCCUCCACCCCCACACUCUUUUCAAUAUUUUUUUUUGAUGUGCUGUUUUCUCUAUUGGAAGGUAAAGUCCUGAAGGCAGGGACUGUCUUCCUGCUUGUAUUUGUAUUCUAAACCAGGUUGAGGAUAACUGACAGGCCUCAAACCCGUCGAUGAGUUGGAGGGGUGUCUACCCCAACCACGUAAAGACGUCCCCCUGUGAAACGGGCGGAUGAGAACAAUUUCUUCCAAUGGCCAUGAAGGUAGCUGGAGCAGGCAUCUGAGCACCCUGUCCAACCCAUCGGAGCUGCACUCUCUGUAGUUUGAAAGCCUGGCAGUUUAGCUCAAGAGAGGACCUCGGAGCCCGACACCUUACUGUGCCAGAACCUUCCAAGCACUGAGAUAGCUUUGGCAAUUCAUGCAUCGAGCUUGUCAUCCGUGUAACAUCCCUGGAAAGUAUACUGCUAAGGCUUCCAACAACAUCGCAGAAAACAUCAAGCUAACAAAGCACGAGAGGAAGCACACAGCCCUGCUUCACUCCGCUGGUGAUUGAGAACGCACGAGAGCAUCAUCCGUUAUCUAGAACCCAGGCAAGCAUGUCAUCAUGAAACUGGCGUAUAAUACUGAUGAACUUCUCUGAGCAACCACAUUUUGCCAUAAUUUUCCCUCCUGACUGACAAUCCUGAAGGCCUUGGUUAGGCUGACAGACACUGUAUACAGACCUCUGUUCUGUUCCUGGCAUUUUGCCCAGAGUUGUCGGGCGGCAAACACCACGUCGACUGCUCCUCAGCCUUUUCUGAAGCUACACUGGCUCUCAGGUAGAUGACUAUCUUUUAGAUGAAGGAUUAGCUGAUUAAAGAGGGCUAUGGCAAGAAUCCUGCUAGCAAUGACAAAGAAAGAGACCCUCCUGUGGUUGUCACAGGACAGCCUACUUCUUUUUCCUUCAUACAGAUGGACAAUGGAAGCGUCCUUGGACUCCUGGGGGACAACCUCAAAGAUUUCCAUCAGUUUUUGUAUGAGCAUUGGACCCCCACCUUGUGGAUCUCUGCUGCAGUGGAAUCAGCACCAGGUACUCUGCCGUGUGAGAGGAGCCCAAUGGCAUUCAAGACCUCUUCUUCAGCUUGAAGUUCGGCUAGAGAGAGACCGACAUCAACCUGAGGUAUAUGGUCAAUGGCUUCAGCAUGGGUUGAUGAUGGUCUGUUGAGACACUAAGGAAGUGUUCAGCCCAUCUCUCCAGGAUCAUGUCCUUAUCACUACUCAAUGUGGCACCAUCUGCACUGAGUAAUCAGUUCUUCAGGGCACCAUAAAAGAACUUUGGAUUGUUACUAUCAGCAUAAAGCUGAAUUUCAUUUGCCUUCUUACUGAGCCAAAAAUCCUGCAUCUCUCUAAGCUUUGCUUGCACUUUGCUCUUGGAGUUACACGCUACCAUUUUGGAAAUGGACAAACUAUCUUGCCAGCAGACCCUGUACAGUUCUUGUUUUUCAUUUAGUAGCUUUUGAAUUUCCCCAUCAUUUUCAAUAAACCAAAAUUGAUGUUUGUGAAUGUUCUGGCCCAGAGGAGUAAAUGGGUAUUGGCUCAGCUGUCCCUCCAAGUCAGUAACACACUGUUCACACAGGGAGAGGUGCCCUAACCUGUUGUUGUUGAGUCUGCUGACAGUUUUCAUGCCUUGGGGCCACUGCUUUGGUUGAAUGCAAAUGUUUAGUUUGGAGAGGAUCAACUCUCUAAGCUAAUAUCAGCUUGGAGAUCAGCUGCAUGUUGCAUUGCCUUCAUCACUCUUACAUCCUGUCUAUCUCUUCCUCUUACAAUGACAUAGUCUGUUAAAUGCUAAUGUUUGCUGCGAGGGUGCAUCCAUGAAGUUCUGUUGCAUUUAGGUAAAUGGAAGAUGGUUUUGGUGAUGAGAAGGUCAUGAAAUGCACAUCUUCAAUAGUAAGUAGCUGUUGCUAUUGCUGACUCCAUUCCUCCCAAGGACUCCCUACCAGGUUUGGUAGUCUGUGCCUACUCUGGCAUUAAUCACCCAGGAUUAUAGUCCUCUUUCAGCCCACUGAUGAUGAGGGUCUCCAGGUCUUCAUAAAAUUUUUCUUUGACCUCAUCAGGGUUUGUCAAGGUGAGAACAUAUGCA